GUAGGGAAUAUUGCACAAUGGGGGAAACCCUGAUGCAGCAACGCCGCGUGAGUGAUGAAGGCCUUCGGGUUGUAAAGCUCUGUCGCAGGGGAAUAAAAAAAUGAAUGUACUCUGUAAGAAAGGGACGGCUAACUUCGUGCCAGCAGCCGCGGUAAGACGAGGGUCCCUAGCGUUGUUCGGAAUCAUUGGGCGUAAAGGGUGCGUAGGCGGCUUGGAAAGUCAGAUGUGAAAGCCCCGGGCUUAACCUGGGAAGUGCAUUUGAUACUACUAAGCUAGAGUAUCGGAGAGGAUAGUGGAAUUCCUGGUGUAGUGGUGAAAUACGUAGAUAUCAGGAGGAACACCGGAGGCGAAGGCGGCUAUCUGGCCGAAUACUGACGUUGAAGCACGAAAGCGUGGGGAGCAAACAGGAUUAGAUACCCUGGUAGUCC
rnacentral:rRNA from 1 species